UUAGCUCAUAUUUGUAUGGAAUGGGAUCGUGUUCGUACGUUUGCCGCUAGGGGCGCUGUUCCAACUGCAUACAAAAUUGGGUUA
rnacentral:pre_miRNA from 1 species